CGGAUCUAGACGUUCGCACCGUUCGCACAUGCGACAGUCAAACUUUUAAAAUUAUACUAAGAAUCCGUCUCGAGAGAGGUUUUUGCUGAACAACAACUUUUUCGCUUAUUGACAAAUUUCUCAUUUGUGUUUUGAUACUAUUUACUCGGGAAUUAUGCUUCAGUUAUAUUUGACAACUGAACACCGUGCAGGAGCAGGAAGAUCCAAGGUCUGAAUCAUGCAUGAUUUAAACCUGGCCAUAAACAGAAGCAAAAUCUUAAACACAAUCUCUAAUUCUAUCUCGAUCUUGAUUCAAUCUGAUUCAAAUCUCAAAGCAUCCUGACUAAAAAACAACAGGGUACCAAUGUAGUUAGAUUAGGGUAUUUCGGUGCACAGUAUGAUUAGUAGCACGUUCGCACCGAUUCGCACAGCUUUUGUUUUAAAAUAUUUAGCCAAUCAAAUUGCUAGAUAGUGCGAACUUCGGUGCACAGUAUGUUUUUUAGUAAGGUCGCACCACUGGGCAAAGAUUAAUCCGUUCUCAUUGCGUGUAUUGUGCAGUUUUGAGCUUAUUUAUGCCUGGCAUGGGCAAGCUUUUCACUGGCGAAAAGGAAUUUUGUGUUAUGGAGUCGGCUGGCUACAUGUAUAAUGAGUACGUUAAACCUGAUAAUUUGGAAGACAAAGGUCGCUAGAUUUUCAGAGUAACAUUCGACACGGGAUGUUUUCAAGUUUCGACAUUCAUUACCUCCUCCAUGGAUCAAGGGCCUACAAAUGUCAAUAAAUGCCCUGGACUGGGGUGAUACCUGUGAUUUGGCUCUGGCGAAUAAAUAAUGUUCAGGACGUUGGCAGAGUGAAAUUUUCAAUUGGACAAAACUUUCAAAGUGAAUCUUUUCAAUGUGGAUUCUCAGUUCCUUAUCAGCUUUCAGAUAUUUCCGGGUAAAGUUUACUUGCUUGGGUAUUCCCCUGAAUUCGAAGGGGUUUCUUCGGAGUAAAAUACAUGUUUACACGCUGAUUUGGUUUAGCUAUUAAAAAAUAUUAGUUAUUAGUGCAGAUUUUUAUGAAUAUUUGUGUACAUUUGUUCUAUUUUGUUAGUUAUGAAAAUUCAUUGUAAUGAUAUUUUUCAUUUUUUGCGUGGCCUGGUUUGUCAUCGUAUACCAUAAACAAAUCGAGAGAGACGACUCGAAUGUUUGCCUGAUUAUGAAAGGAAAACCGUGUCAAUACGUUUAAGAAUUUCAAGUUGUUUCUUGCUUUACGCUUGGCUAAGAAACAACACAAAUGAUUCUGUAGUAUCAAUUGAAAACUCAGAUAAGGAAUAAACAACAGUUUGACAACGUUCUAAAUAAAGCCAAUUUAAUGUGCGUGUCGACUGCUCAAAUGGAAGGGGGCGAAUAUCCUUAAAAACCAAGGGGUGUGGUCACGAAUGAUAUUUCCGACCACACCCUUGUGUGCGACAGUCAGAAUAUUUUCUAGAUCCGCCCCUGCCAAACUCAACAGUCAACAAUAAUGUCAGAUUACCUCAACCUUGUAGCUCAUUCGUAAAUACAACUUUGGGCCUGUAUACAAAAGCAUGUCGUUAAGAAUAAUCAAGGGAAAAGUGGGGUAGGAGAGGGAGGGGAGUGGGGAAGGAGCCGCCUCAGCCCACUGGCCGCCAUAUAGAGCAGAUAUCCAAAACUUUCAAGCCACGCGGCUGCUUAUUCAAAUACCAUAAAAGGUUUCUUCGGUCAGCUGUCUGUGAUACAGAACGCAACGGCAGCAUGGCAGCGAUAGUUAAGCAGGCACUUCUUUUCGCAAUAAUUGCAGCUUGUUUUGUGGGUAUCGGAGUUGCCAGGGAAUGCCGAAGCGGAUACGAGAGCCCAUUCUUGUAUUUCUACUUCGAAAAGCAUCCAUGCUUUGCCAAUCAAUCUGCCUGCUUCCAAUCAGUUACAUGCGAUUACACAUCGUAUUUUGGCAAAUCAGUCAAUUACAGGUGGGAAUGCCUUAAUGCAGCGGACUGCAAGAACACAACAAAAGGAUCCUUUGCGACAUACCUCGGAAGAAAAGGAAAAUGCUGCUUCACUGACAACUGUAACGCGUACAAAGCCAACUGCACCGUCACAAUCAAAUCUGGCACAAGCAAGGUGAUGCCUGGCUAUCUUCCACACCUUUUUGGCAUAUCACUAGCCAUGAUCCACUACCUCUCAAGCAACUAAGAUUGAAACCUUAACUCUCUACUGAAAAAUAUUCCCUUUUCACCUUAAGAUUCAUUAUGUGAUUGUCAUGUUAUUGCACGAUAUUCAAGAAGCAUUUUUCAUAAACCAUAAUGGAAUGUCGCUUUUAAGAUAUGUAUCUUGGACUUAAAACUAUGAUUGUUGUAUUGUUCUUAAUCUAGCAUAUUUUGAUAAAGUCAGAGCGUGAACUUGUUAAAGUUAAAAAACAAUCCAUGAAGUAAAAAAGAGUCAUUCAGUUAAAUAUUUUCAGCGAUAAUUACACCUCAGGAUUGCAGCUUCUUCUUUAGCAGCUGCUCGCUUGCGCCAUGAUUGCAUAAUAUUGUGUAAUCUUGAGUUGCACGAGGCCAAUUGAACAAAUGGAACAAAGAGACUUAUUGAAAAUAAAAAAUAGUAAAUUAAAAAAGUCAAUGCGCAAAACCAUUCAAAUAGGUGAACUUGGUUUGAAAAAAGCAUUACCCACCAACGACGCACUCGCGUUUGGUCUUGGUACGGAGGGAAUUUGCUGAGAAAGGAUGAUUUGAAAAUAAUGAAAGCUGUAAACCCAACCCUUAAAAUUUGUUUUUUUUGUUUAGGGACUCAAUAUUUAGAUUAGAAGACAGCUAAUAAGUAAUAGAAAAAUCUUGUGAUAAAUUAUUGAUAUUUCAGGGACAUUAGCAAAAGACACUUUGAGAUUUAAGUUAGUUAUAUAAGUUAGUUUUGUGAGAGCUUGUUUGAAUUAUCUGUAUGAAGAUUAUUUAAUACUUCGAUAGCAAAAGCAAUGACCUUUAUACAA